GCCCUGUGGUAGAGGACAUCAGGUAGUGUCUUACCUCUGUAUAACCAGGGCCCUGUGGUAGAGGACAUCAGGUAGGGUCUUACCUCUGUAUAACCAGGGCCCUGUGGUAGAGGACAUCAGGUAGGGUCUUACCUCUGUAUAACCAGGGCCCUGUGGUAGAGGACAUCAGGUAGUGUCUUACCUCUGUAUAACCAGGGCCCUGUGGUAGAGGACAUCAGGUAGUGUCUUACCUCUGUAUAACCAGGGCCCUGUGGUAGAGGACAUCAGGUAGUGUCUUACCUCUGUAUAACCAGGGCCCUGUGGUAGAGGACAUCAGGUAGUGUCUUACCUCUGUAUAACCAGGGCCCUGUGGUAGAGGACAUCAGGUAGUGUCUUACCUCUGUAUAACCAGGGCCCUGUGGUAGAGGACAUCAGGUAGGGUCUUACCUCUGUAUAACCAGGGCCCUGUGGUAGAGGACAUCAGGUAGUGUCUUACCUCUGUAUAACCAGGGCCCUGUGGUAGAGGACAUCAGGUAGUGUCUUACCUCUGUAUAACCAGGGCCCUGUGGUAGAGGACAUCAGGUAGUGUCUUACCUCUGUAUAACCAGGGCCCUGUGGUAGAGGACAUCAGGUAGUGUCUUACCUCUGUAUAACCAGGGCCCUGUGGUAGAGGACAUCAGGUAGUGUCUUACCUCUGUAUAACCAGGGCCCUGUGGUAGAGGACAUCAGGUAGGGUCUUACCUCUGUAUAACCAGGGCCCUGUGGUAGAGGACAUCAGGUAGUGUCUUACCUCUGUAUAACCAGGGCCCUGUGGUAGAGGACAUCAGGUAGUGUCUUACCUCUGUAUAACCAGGGCCCUGUGGUAGAGGACAUCAGGUAGGGUCUUACCUCUGUAUAACCAGGGCCCUGUGGUAGAGGACAUCAGGUAGUGUCUUACCUCUGUAUAACCAGGGCCCUGUGGUAGAGGACAUCAGGUAGGGUCU